rnacentral:rRNA from 1 species
GAGUGGCGAACGGGUGAGUAACACGUGGGCAACCUGCCCAAAAGAGGGGGAUAACACUUGGAAACAGGUGCUAAUACCGCAUAACCAUAGUUACCGCAUGGUAACUAUGUAAAAGGUGGCUAUGCUACCGCUUUUGGAUGGGCCCGCGGCGCAUUAGCUAGUUGGUGGGGUAAAGGCUUACCAAGGCGAUGAUGCGUAGCCGAACUGAGAGGUUGAUCGGCCACAUUGGGACUGAGACACGGCCCAAACUCCUACGGGAGGCAGCAGUAGGGAAUCUUCCACAAUGGGCGAAAGCCUGAUGGAGCAACGCCGCGUGGGUGAAGAAGGUCUUCGGAUCGUAAAACCCUGUUGUUAGAGAAGAAAGUGCGUGAGAGUAACUGUUCACGUUUCGACGGUAUCUAACCAGAAAGCCACGGCUAACUACGUGCCAGCAGCCGCGGUAAUACGUAGGUGGCAAGCGUUAUCCGGAUUUAUUGGGCGUAAAGGGAACGCAGGCGGUCUUUUAAGUCUGAUGUGAAAGCCUUCGGCUUAACCGGAGUAGUGCAUUGGAAACUGGGAGACUUGAGUGCAGAAGAGGAGAGUGGAACUCCAUGUGUAGCGGUGAAAUGCGUAGAUAUAUGGAAGAACACCAGUGGCGAAAGCGGCUCUCUGGUCUGUAACUGACGCUGAGGUUCGAAAGCGUGGGUAGCAAACAGGAUUAGAUACCCUGGUAGUCCACGCCGUAAACGAUGAAUGCUAAGUGUUGGA